AACGAACGCUGGCGGCAUGCCUAACACAUGCCAGUCGAACGAGACCUUCGGGUCUAGUGGCGCACGGGUGCGUAACGCGUGGGAACCUGCCCUUAGGUUCGGAAUAACUCCCCGAAAGGGGUGCUAAUACCGGAUAAUGUCUUCGGACCAAAGAUUUAUCACCUUUGGAUGGGCCCGCGUUGGAUUAGCUAGUUGGUAGGGUAAAAGCCUACCAAGGCGACGAUCCAUAGCUGGUCUGAGAGGAUGAUCAGCCACACUGGGACUGAGACACGGCCCAGACUCCUACGGGAGGCAGCAGUGGGGAAUAUUGGACAAUGGGCGAAAGCCUGAUCCAGCAAUGCCGCGUGAGUGAUGAAGGCCUUAGGGUUGUAAAGCUCUUUUACCCGGGAUGAUAAUGACAGUACCGGGAGAAUAAGCGCCGGCUAACUACGUG
rnacentral:rRNA from 1 species